CCUACGGGGGGCAGCAGUGAGGAAUAUUGGUCAAUGGACGAGAGUCUGAACCAGCCAAGUAGCGUGAAGGAUGACUGCCCUAUGGGUUGUAAACUUCUUUUAUAUGGGAAUAAAAUGUUCCACGUGUGGGAUUUUGUAUGUACCAUAUGAAUAAGGAUCGGCUAACUCCGUGCCAGCAGCCGCGGUAAUACGGAGGAUCCGAGCGUUAUCCGGAUUUAUUGGGUUUAAGGGGAGCGUAGGUGGAUGGUUAAGUCAGUUGUGAAAGUUUGCGGCUCAACCGUAAAAUUGCAGUUGAAACUGGCAGUCUUGAGUACAGUAGAGGUGGGCGGAAUUCGUGGUGUAGCGGUGAAAUGCUUAGAUAUCACGAAGAACUCCGAUUGCGAAGGCAGUUCACUGGACUGCAACUGACACUGAGGCUCGAAAGUGUGGGUAUCAAACAGGAUUAGAUACCCGAGUAGUC
rnacentral:rRNA from 1 species